AUGUGGGAAUAUGUAAUUAAUUUUUAUACUUUCCCCAGUAAACCAUCGACCCUUUUUAUGAUGUCAUGAGGGAUUCCUUAAUUUUGCAGCUGCUUCCUGAUUACGUCAGAGAGGAGCCUGUCACCCCACAGCCUGGAGCUGUACUCAUACAAGAAUUGGAAACAAAUGAAGUGCCGAAUAUCUAAUGGCUUCCACAGGGAGCGCCAGUUCAGACUUCCCAGGCCUCCUCUUGCUAGGUCUUCCUCAAGUAUUUCUGACCCCCUGAAGUGUCUUUGUUCUGGAAAGACAGGACUUGGCCCAGAGCCAAGAGGGAGGGAGCCUGGAGACUCCUUGACACAUACCUCUCUCCCUCCAGGUGUUUUGCAGUCCUGAGUUUCUUCCCCCUUACUUGGAUCUUGUUUGGUUGUACAGGAAGCAUUUCGGCUUCUAGGGAGGCCUAAGGAAGGCUACAAUCAUGGCAGAAGGCGAGAGGGGAGCAGGCACUUUACAUGGCGAAAGCAGGAGCAAAGAGUGGGGCAGUCCCACCUACUUUUCAAGGACCAGAUCUUGCAAGAAUUCAGCCACUACCACAGAGACAGCACCCAAGCCCUGAGGGAUCCACCCUACCAUCCAGACACCUCCCACCAGGCCCCAUCUCCAGCAGUGGGGAUUACAAUUCGACGUGAGAUUUGGGUGGGGACAAAUAUUCCACCAUGUCACUUGGCUGUAUCAGUUUAGGGAAAUGUUAUGACUUGCUUUACACUCAGUCAGCUUCUGUUUUGCCAUUGUGCAUGAAUAAUUUGCUUGGGUGUAUUAGUGCCUGAUUCUGCUGACUCAUUCGUUCUGCUCCUCAGGGAAUAAAAUGAUGAAAAGACAUCUCUGCCUUUGCUCUGA